rnacentral:rRNA from 1 species
UGCGCCCUACGGGGCGCAGCAGUGGGGAAUAUUGCACAAUGGGCGAAAGCCUGAUGCAGCAACGCCGCGUGAACGAAGAAGGCUCUUGGGUCGUAAAGUUCUGUUCUGAGGGAAGAAGAAAGUGACGGUACCUCAGGAGAAAGCCCCGGCUAACUACGUGCCAGCAGCCGCGGUAAUACGUAGGGGGCAAGCGUUGUCCGGAAUUAUUGGGCGUAAAGAGUACGUAGGCGGUCUGUUAAGCGCAAGGUGAAAGGCAUAGGCUCAACCAAUGUGAGCCUUGCGAACUGGCAUCCUUUAGUGCAGGG